GGGAACAUAGCAAAGGGGUGAAUGCGACAGACUUUUAAUCUGUAGGCGUAGGUUCGAAUCCUACUUUCCCUG
rnacentral:tRNA from 1 species